AGGACUGGCAUUUCCUCAGGAGGAAGAGGGUCUCAGCUGAGAACGAAGUUUCCUGUGAGUCUGCUGCUCUCUCAGGCCUUUCCAGUGAAUGCCCUUUGGAGGGGCUCAGCCUGGUCACCUGGGGCUCCCAGGUCCAAUUUCCUAACCAAGCUGUCUGGACCCACCAUCUGGAAGGCUUCUCCGCAUUCCCAGCGACUGUACCCAGCAAUCAGAAGGCACUGGAUAAACAUCUAGAAGACCCAGAGGGGUCAUUAGCUGAGGGUCUCCAGCAGAAGGUGUAGCCCAGAUGAAAGGUGUGAGCCACCACGCCUUUAAUCCCAGAUGACCUUGAACUCAGAAGUCUCCCAAUCUUAAUCUUCUGGGAUUCAUAGCCACUGUGCCUCAAGAUCUCCAUGCCAAGAUCCAGGUCAGAAACUUGUAUCUCCCAGCCUCCAGAUUAGGAUCACUGGUGAGCCUUCCAAUUCUGGAUUGUAGUUCAUUCCAGAUAUAGUCAAGUUGACAACCAGGAAUAACCACUACAAUCCACCCCUUGUCAACUUGACACAAAUAAUAUCCCAUGUCCACAUGAAACAAUAACAAGGUCACGGAUACGCCUAACAUGAUAGAACUAUUCCAGGAACAAUCGCAAAUGCAUUUGUAAAUUUACAAUGGGGCAAUGUCCCUUGGGAACAUUCUUUCAGUGUUUCAACUUAAAUACCAAUUGAUGUUAAAGAAAGUGGAAGAAAGACAAAUGUAUUCUUAGCAAAAUAAGACAGAAGCAUUCAUACUGCUUUAAAAAUGACCAUAAGGAUCCAAUAUUGACGGUGUCUCAGAAGCCAGAGGUCUUAAAUCAGCCAGUGACUCAUUGCGAUGGACAUUUACAAGUGAAGAUGUGUGGACAGAUAUACCGUGGGACACACUGUGACAUACUACAGCUUCCGUGAUGAGAUGUUUUCUGUGCUUUGUUUUUGUUUGUAUAUUUUUUUUAUUUGGGGGGAGGUGGCAAGGGGCAGAUAUGCGGGAGCGGGGAGACUGAACGGGCCUGGAGUGCAUGACUCGAAGCUCACAGAGAAUAAAUAAAAAGC
rnacentral:lncRNA from 1 species